UGUCGACGGUCGGCCGGGCGGCGUCGAGGAGUGGCUGGUGGCCGCUCGUGGUGAUCGUCCGGAUCGGUUCGGCUACCGGGGUGGACAUC
rnacentral:tRNA from 1 species